GAAGGGAGGAGCUGGCCCUGCUCACCACAGCGGGCGCUUACCAUCAGGCCCAACAAAUUUGUUGGGCUUCCUGCCCUGAGCAGGGGCAGGUGAGGCAGCCUGGUCAGUAAUGUAGGGAUGAAAUCUGUGCCCAAAGUCUCUUGGCUUUGUGUUUCCUGUAGAAGAUACUAUGUGGGGUUUGCUCUCCAUUCCUACAUACACCUUACUGCACCAUCUUUUGUGUGGGUGUGUUUGGCUCAUCCCAAAGCAGCCUCGCAUCCCCAUGUGAGGCAGCUGUGCCUGGCUGUCCUUAACACUGUCACUCAUGGAGGCUGUGCGCUGGGAAGGUGUUAACUGAGUGAACAUGUGUGUGUCUCUGCAAAGCCUCCUGAGCAUGUUGGCGCUUUUUUAUCUCCUGUCAUGGAGUUUGGCUCCCUGUGGAGCUCCCCAGCUGGAGCAGCAGCUGUGCAGGAGGGGAAAGGUGUGUCUGACUGCGAGGACCGGGACUAGCUGCCAAAGUGAGAGAGAGAGAGAGAGAGAAAAAAAAAAAAAAAAAAGCUUUAAAUGGCAAGACUGAGCUUGCAGCAUGUGGCCAGUGUGUUCCCUGCAGGCUUCAGGAGGCAGCAGGAGCAGCGGUGGAGGGGAGAAAAGGUGCUGCAGGAUGGGGGCUUCCCGCAUGCCAGCUGGCAGCAGGGGUCUGCAGGUACAUGGGGCAAGAGGGACAGGCCACCGUCGCGCUGCAGCAGCCUGCAGCCCAGGUUCUGAUGCUGUUGGCACCCUUGCAAUAGGACUGCUUCGUUGGAAAAAUCUGUAUACAUAUGGAAACCCUCACCACACUCUCACCUUUUCUGAAGAUGUCUGUAGUCCUGUAUUUCAACAUUUGCCUACGCAAAAUGACUUAUCAUAUCCAUUAUCCUGCCCAGCUUCACUUUCUAUCACUCCAGUGCCUUCAUACAGCAGUAGUAGUCAAGAAACUUUAAGUCAAGACUGUACAGGCUGGCUGGGUGCUUGUAGGAGCCGCAAGUCCCAGGAUAAGCACCAUUCCUAAUGUCUACUCUGAUGGUGACACUUAUAAAACAGGAGUGCUACUGCAAAUUGCUAAUCAGUCCAUGCAAAGAUGCGUGUCUCCUGCUGCAGACGUGAGGGUACUUCGUGUGAGCAUGGUGAAGUGCUCCUAUCUACUGGUCAGUUGUGCUCUGCCCUACUGCCUGGGGGCCCAAGAAGUAUAUGGUGUGACUGGAUGUUGUGGCUGCAACACCAGUGAUAAUCCCUACCUUAUUAUAACACUUCUAACACAAAAAUUUCUUAAUUUUUUUAAACAUUACCAGCUUUCAGGGACUGUCUUCCCAUGAUUAAGAAGCUUAUUUGCAGCAAAGAUAACAGCUGUUCAACAGCGUACAGCAAUUCUCUGCAAGUUCAGGCAAGAGUACUGCAUCAGCUGAAAUGCGUGAUCUUUUGAAAAGACAGAGGUAGAUUGAUUAAUGAGGUAGAGUAUAUCCUAAGGCUAUAUCCAGGCUCAUUCAUGUCCAAGACUACUUGAUCAGCUUGUUUACAGGAACUUGAUAUGAAAAAGAAUACCAUGCCACGGGCUUGCUGUAAAGCUACUCUCUUGUGAAUUUAUAUCAAAUUCUCUAACCUUAACAUUAUCAAAAAAGCAAACCAUGUUAAGCCAGCAGUAUACAAUGAAUAGAUGCAUUGUCAUUUCAAAAGAAUUAUUUUUUAUCUACUGAUACUGGGAAAAUUCUGGCUGCUUCCUCCGCAUGUUCAGAGCCUUGUAAUAAGCUGUGCUUGGGAAGUUUGAGAUGAAUUUCAGUGUCACAAUAAAACUGUGUUUUAAGACACUCAGUAUGAAAGAUGUAGAACUGCAGCUAAUAGCAUUUGGGGAGCAGAUUUCAGUGGGUGCUUUGUAUACUACUUUGAAACAUUACUUUCAAUUUGGUACAUUUGUUGCUUCACAGUAUUCUGUAAUGCUAGGUUAUCUUCAGAGUAGUGACAGAUUUUGUCCUUGCAUAUUGGAGUAUAAUUGACAUCAGAAACAAUUUUCUGUACUUUGGGAAGGAAAUCUUGAGCUUUUAAUAUUACUUAUAUUUUGAAAUAACAUUAUUGAGAGGAUUGCACUGAUUAAUAAGAAACAUACUUCUGCUUCGAAUGGGACAAAACAUGAGGAAUUAUUCUGUACUCAUUUCCCAGCUCAGAAAUCUUGUCAGGAAGAAAAGAGAACAACUUAGUUUUGAUAACUAUUUGAUAACAACAUAUCAGUUUUUGAACUGGUUCCCAAAGAGUUUCUGUUGAUUAACUUUUUCUGUUAUUAUGUUCGUUAUUCAACGCUUAAUACAUUAAACAAUAUAUUUCAGAAUACCCAGAAAACUCCUAGACACCACCAGCUGGAUUCUGAGUGAUAGAUUUGCACUGAGCCAAAAAGAAUUGGGAAGAAUUGGGAGCUGAACAUUACAUUUAUUAUGUGAAUUUCUGGUUGCAGAUAAAAAUAUAUAUAUAUAUAUAUAUAUAUAAAAAAACCAACAUCAACAACAACAAACAAAACCAGCUGAAUGUAAUCCACUCUGCUACUGUUGUGUGGGGCGGGACAGGAAGCUGACUACACUAAAACUGGAAAUGCAUGCAUGCAUAUAAAUUUAAAUAUUUUGUUAUUCCCUGUUGCAGAUAUAUGUUUAGUAUCCUUUACACUAUAGGCAUUUACUAAUAUUUAUCCUCAAUCUUCUUGGCUUCAGAGUUAAUCCUGAUCAGUAUUGCCUUUCCUCUCCUCCUUCAGUAGACUUGGGAAAUACCUCACCUGCUACUUGCUGCACAAUUUUUCAAUGAUGGGACAUUGUUUU